GCCCGCCUAGCUCAGUUGGCAGAGCGCAAGGCUCUUAAACCGCAAGCAACCGAACAACGGUUGGUGCUACCUUGUGGUCCGGGGUUCGAGCCCCCGGGUGGGCG